UACGUGGGGGGCAAGCGUUGUUCGGAAUUACUGGGCGUAAAGGGCUCGUAGGCGGCCAACUAAGUCGGACGUGAAAUCCCUCGGCUUAACCGGGGAACUGCGUCCGAUACUGGAUGGCUUGAGUUUGGGAGAGGGAUGCGGAAUUCCAGGUGUAGCGGUGAAAUGCGUAGAUAUCUGGAGGAACACCGGUGGCGAAGGCGGCAUCCUGGACCGAGAUUGACGCUGAGGCGCGAAAGCUAGGGGAGCAAACGGG
rnacentral:rRNA from 1 species